GUUGACAGCUGACUGCAUGCUCGAGUACACGUGAUAAAGUGACGACGGAACACAGAAGCACACGGCAUUUUUGGUUCGCUUCAGAGACUGGCUUCGUGUGGAACGUGUACCUGUGCUGUAGCCAGGCCAGCAGUUCUGCUAUGAGAAAGACACAACGGUGAGUGCGCAGCUGCAGCCACAAACCACAACCAGCCGACCCCUCAACAGUCAAUAUUAAUGCUGGACAGCAGCUCCUCCAAGGCUUCCAGCUUCUGAUUGGCCUCCUCGAUUGCACUGUAAGUCUGCACGUUGCUGGU